CGGCAGACUUAAGAUCUGCUGGACAGUUGUCCGCGCGAGUUCGAACCUCGCAUCCUUCAUUAUUUUUUCCAUACUUUUUAAGUU